rnacentral:rRNA from 1 species
UGGCUCAGAUUGAACGCUGGCGGCAGGCCUAACACAUGCAAGUCGAGCGGUAGCACAGAGAGCUUGCUCUCGGGUGACGAGCGGCGGACGGGUGAGUAAUGUCUGGGAAACUGCCUGAUGGAGGGGGAUAACUACUGGAAACGGUAGCUAAUACCGCAUAACGUCGCAAGACCAAAGUGGGGGACCUUCGGGCCUCAUGCCAUCAGAUGUGCCCAGAUGGGAUUAGCUGGUAGGUGGGGUAACGGCUCACCUAGGCGACGAUCCCUAGCUGGUCUGAGAGGAUGACCAGCCACACUGGAACUGAGACACGGUCCAGACUCCUACGGGAGGCAGCAGUGGGGAAUAUUGCACAAUGGGCGCAAGCCUGAUGCAGCCAUGCCGCGUGUGUGAAGAAGGCCUUCGGGUUGUAAAGCACUUUCAGCGGGGAGGAAGGCGGUGAGGUUAAUAACCUCRYCGAUUGACGUUACCCGCAGAAGAAGCACCGGCUAACUCCGUGCCAGCAGCCGCGGUAAUACGGAGGGUGCAAGCGUUAAUCGGAAUUACUGGGCGUAAAGCGCACGCAGGCGGUCUGUCAAGUCGGAUGUGAAAUCCCCGGGCUCAACCUGGGAACUGCAUUCGAAACUGGCAGGCUAGAGUCUUGUAGAGGGGGGUAGAAUUCCAGGUGUAGCGGUGAAAUGCGUAGAGAUCUGGAGGAAUACCGGUGGCGAAGGCGGCCCCCUGGACAAAGACUGACGCUCAGGUGCGAAAGCGUGGGGAGCAAACAGGAUUAGAUACCCUGGUAGUCCACGCUGUAAACGAUGUCGAUUUGGAGGUUGUGCCCUUGAGGCGUGGCUUCCGGAGCUAACGCGUUAAAUCGACCGCCUGGGGAGUACGGCCGCAAGGUUAAAACUCAAAUGAAUUGACGGGGGCCCGCACAAGCGGUGGAGCAUGUGGUUUAAUUCGAUGCAACGCGAAGAACCUUACCUGGUCUUGACAUCCACAGAACUUAGCAGAGAUGCUUUGGUGCCUUCGGGAACUGUGAGACAGGUGCUGCAUGGCUGUCGUCAGCUCGUGUUGUGAAAUGUUGGGUUAAGUCCCGCAACGAGCGCAACCCUUAUCCUUUGUUGCCAGCGGUUAGGCCGGGAACUCAAAGGAGACUGCCAGUGAUAAACUGGAGGAAGGUGGGGAUGACGUCAAGUCAUCAUGGCCCUUACGACCAGGGCUACACACGUGCUACAAUGGCAUAUACAAAGAGAAGCGACCUCGCGAGAGCAAGCGGACCUCAUAAAGUAUGUCGUAGUCCGGAUUGGAGUCUGCAACUCGACUCCAUGAAGUCGGAAUCGCUAGUAAUCGUAGAUCAGAAUGCUACGGUGAAUACGUUCCCGGGCCUUGUACACACCGCCCGUCACACCAUGGGAGUGGGUUGCAAAAGAAGUAGGUAGCUUAACCUUCGGGAGGGCGCUUACCACUUUGUGAUUCAUGACUGGGGUGAAGUCGUAACAAGGUA